UAUUAGUCAGCUAGGAUUAUUACAAUAAGAUACCACAUACUGGGUGGCCUAAGCAAUGAAAAUUUAUUUUCUCUUAGCUCUCGAAGGGCAGAAAUCCAAGAGCAAGGUGCCAGCAGGGUUGGUGUCUGGUGAGGCCUUUCUCCUGGCUUAAAGACAGCUGCUUUCUCACCAUGUCCUCACAUGGCCUUUCCUCUGUGUGCUCAUAAUGGGAAGGGGCAACAGAUAUUUCUCUGGUGUCCCUUCCUUUUCUUAUAAGGACACUAGUCCUAUUGAAUUAAAGCCCAACCUUAUGACCUCAUGAACCUUUAUUAUUCCCUAUACACCUUGUGACCACAUACAAUCACACUGAAGGCUAGGACUUCAAAAUGUGAACGUUGGGAGGUCACAAUUCAAUCCACAACAGCUAAUAUAUAAAAUACAAUUAAUUUUUAUAUACAGUCAUCCCCCAUCUGGGGUUUUGCUUUCCUCAGUUUCAGUUAUCUACAGCCAACUGUGGUCUGAAAAUAGGUUUAGGUCAUUGGCUGGGUUCUGGCCAAGACACUGUGGGCAGAAGUGACAUUUGCCACUUUCCAGCCUGGCGCUGAAGCACCUGGGGCAAUCCUCCAUGGGUUCUUUCUGGCCCACUUUCUGAGUGCACAGAACCCACCAGAGGAUCCAAGGAGGCCCUGGGUUUGGUGGGGCCAUGAGAUGGAAGGAGCAUUUAUCCAGUCACUCUUGGAGAAAAGCUACCGACUUGAGUUGGACUGUGAGGUAUGGCCAUUUUACCUUCUCUGACCAGUGAAUGUGAACACAAGUGAUGCAUGUGUUGCUUUUCGGCUGGACUAUCUGCUAAUACUAGACCUUUGAGAACUCUCUUUUCCCUCUGCCACAGCAACGUCAAGUUUCUCAUUCAGCCUGGAUAGUGAAUACAUACAAAGAGGACACAACGGGGAGUCUCCAACCAACCCAUAUUGCACCUGCAGCAUGAAUGAGAAGAAAACAAAAUAGAACAACAACAACAAAAAAUCCCUCACCUUUCUUGUUUUAUUCAAUGAGAGUUUAAAGUUCUUUGAUAUGGAAUCAUAACACAAAAAUCCUGGGUGAUACAACUGUGUAUAUUAAACUUGUUUCAUUAGAGAGCAUUGUUAAGUGUGAGGAACAUGUAGGAAGAGUCUCUCUUCCUCUCCAAAACCCCCACCCAGAUAAAUGAGAGUUGUGAAGCUGGAAGGAAGAUCAGAUAAUUGUUUUUUGACCCAUAGCUGUGUUAGUCUCAGAUGAAGGGAGAAUGGAGAGAAGAUCAGUUAGGCCUCAACCUGAAAGAAAUGAAAACACUAGGAAGGGACAUUCAGCAAGUUAGUGGCAUCAGGCCUAGUCUACUGGGCUGCAAAAUCACUAACUUGUUUGGAUGACCUGGAAUUAGAUUGUUUCUGGACACUAAAGCUAAAAGAAACUGAAACAGGGUUUCAACAGCUAUAAUGACAGGAAAUCUCCCCAGUAGUUAUUGGUGGAGACGUCUUUUUAUAACAAAAAUCCAGACUGUUCCAUGUAAGCGCAACGCUGGGGAAGCAAGCUCUUAGUGCUCAUCCCCCUUCUCCACUAUAAAUGCUAGUGAGUUAGUUUACGAAUGGAAUAAAAUAAUGUAUUAAAUUAGUUAGAAAUACUUUUUUGUGUAAAGCAAUUGAUUUCAACAAAGAGUAAGAAAGUUUUAUGGAUUUGUGGGUAAAGUUGUUUGAGGUCCUAGAUUCCUGUAUUAUAAAUGAAUACAGCUCCCACAGAAAUCAAGACACUCUGAUUUGGGGUUUACUCCACAGUCUGAUAUUAACUAGCUUGAACAACUUGUUUCAAUAUUUCAUAUUUCUUGGCUUCAUCUGCCUGGUGAGAAUAAUAAUAGCUUAUCUACCUGAAGGAAGGGGCUGGAGCACAUUAUCUCUUAAAGUCCCUUCCAGCCCUAACCUUUUUUUUUUUUUUUAUGAAAUAAAUAUUUUGUCAUUAUUAUGUCUAUCAAUUUGCCUACUGGUAGUGUUGAUAAAAGCCAUGUGAAUUUUGGGAGAAUGAAAAGGUGGAGAUGUAGAAAAGGGAAGAGAAGAAAGCAGAGUAGAAGAAGGAAAAGGAGAGAUGAGGUCAUGAAGAGAUGAAGCAAUGAGUGGGACAAGGAGAGGAAUUGGCACUCACCUUUGUUUUGUCUGUCAUUUGAGAUGUUUUCAGUUACAAACCAAAACAAACAAUAGUAAAAAUGCAGAUAAUAAA